CCCCACCUGCCUACUACAUGGAGGGAAUACCUUUGUAAGUGUUAAAAGUUAACUGUUAGUGAUAAUUUAUGGGUUCUCUGCUGCCACGGUGGAACUAGUACACUAAGUACGAUUCGGAGCCGGGAAGAUACUACUUGGGGUAAUAGAAAAAUAACACACUACGUGUUGCUGCUUGAGUGCAGGUGAUGGUAAGUUUCCCAGCGUGCUGCAGGAGGCCAAGCUCCCGUUUGUGAACUACUCCACGUGCAGCCAGCAAGAGUGGUGGUGGUACGGCGUCAACACGAACCUGAUUUGUGCUGGGGAUGAUCACGCAGUUUGCAAUGGUGACUCGGGUGGGCCACUGAGUUGCCAGGAACCCAACGGCUCCUGGGUUGUGUAUGGAAUCACCAGCUUUGGACAUAAAAACUGCAGCGUUUUCCACAAGCCCUCCGUUUUCACACGGGUGUCUGCCUACACAGACUGGGUCUCUCAAGUGAUGGAGACUUCAUCACGAUCAACAGCAAGUCUGUGCUCUGCACACCUUCUCAUGCUUGGCCUCACUCAGUCGCUCGUGAGCCUCUUCCGGAACUGAUGCUCACUCUUUCGAUCUGCACGGCUCCAAGAUGACACCGACCUGUAAUGCCUCGCAUCACCUUGCCCAAUUGAAUUUAUAAUAAAAGCACUCAUAUGAUAGUGGAACUAUGUUGUGCGGUACAAUGUCGCACGUCCGACUCGCUGGAAACCAAGGUCAUGCCAUGCUUGUGUAACGAAGAUCUGUGCUUUACAACAUCUGUACCAUCGCAGGACGCCCAUAGAGUCUAGCUGCUCAUUAUAUGUGUAGUGAGCGACUUCUGAGACACGGGGCGACACAUUGUGUAACGCAGCUACACAUAGGCUAUCCUAACACGCAGCCCAUCUCCGUCAUACACUACGCAAGCUGUUUGACUAGCGUAGCAGCGGCAAGGGAGAUGGUCUUGCAGAAGAACAGCCACGUGGUCGAAGACGAAGAGAUGACGACGAGCAGCGACGCAGCCAGGACCCAGGACCCGCAGAACAGCCCCGAACCUCUGGUUCGGUCCCCCUUAUAUCUGCCCGGCGUGGCCAAGCUCCACCGGUGACCACGCCCCCUUUCCAGAACUUUUGGGCUGGUUCCCAGAGCUUCCAGACUGACUCCGCCCUUCACCUUUACCCAGAUACCCCCCUUAUAAGGCAUUACGUAAUGCAGCCUUAACCGUAAUUAUCCCUACAGGCCGGCAGGUGUCACCCUGUCAUUACAUAUGUAUGUUGAACUUCUUUCGCACCGAACAUAGCGGGGGGAAGGACAACAAACUAAACUCUUGUGUAAUAAUUUAAUAUAAAUCUUUAUCUAAUAUAUAUAAUACAUCCAUCAGCCUACGUGUUAAACUGAUAUAAUAUACAGUACGCAGAUAUGUGAAAAAUGUCUGUUAUGUGAACAUUUAUGGAAAAAUACAGUUACACCAUAAUGUACAAACACAGCACUGGGUGUUAUUAAUUGGCGAGAGUGGAUAAGUGACAGUCGGAUAUGCAACACCGCACAUGUGUAAAAGUUUAGGUUUAGUGUCACUUCUGUUUCAUUUAACAGUUUCUGUUUCAUUUAUUUGGUAUAGCCCUGUGAGGCAUUCGGCUCUUGAAUCGGAUGCAACCGCAACAAAGAAAAAACAAAAACAUGAACAAGAAAACAUCUUAAAGUGACUAUAAUACACAUUUUUCAGAAGAUGGCAUUAGACUUACUGCAAUUCGCUAAAGAAAGUAUUACUAUGUCCACGGCUGUUUCACUUUUUUUUUAGUGUACAUACAAUGAAACACACUACGUUGUGUAAACACGUUUGUCUCACACAUCUGGCGAGCACUUUAACGACUUAUAGCACGCGCGCGUGUCCACAAUGUGUGAGUACGGAUUGCCGUCCGGCAACGAUGUCAAAUAUUUACACUUUGCGAACACCACAUCAACGUCCGGAGGUACGGAAUCAGCGUCACUGAUGGGGGAAAUUGCCCCCCUGAGUAACCCAGACGCGCGGCUUGAACUCAGUAAGUCUAUAAAAUAAUGGCUCUUCUGUGUAUUGAUAUCAAUUUCCCAAAGAGAUCCAGCCAAGGGGAUUGAACCCAAAUGCCUGAGUAUGGAAAAUGCUCUUAAGAUGUCUCGUAAAGCAGGCUACGAUUUAGAUUUAAAGCUUUCGUGACUGCAGGGAUUCAUCUUCUUGGUUCUUUCGGUAA